GGGGCCGAUCGGAAUCGACCGGACAGGGAACGUAUGGCGUGGCGCGUCGCGGCGCACGUGGACCGCGUUAUCAAGCGUGCAACACUUUAUAACUGCCAACUCGCAGUUUGCUCUCGCGGCGUAAUACACGCUGCGUGAUCCAGACCUGACGCCUGAUGAGGACUGGAUCAAUGACAUCAGGCUGGUCCCAAGGGGGCGUCUUCAGCCCGGCGGGACAAGACAACACUGAGACUGGAUGACACGGAAGGCCGCCUCGGGUCGUUCGUGGCGUCGAGAUCAAACCCGAGGACACACGCGUAGAGGCGUCAUACCGACUGUCGCGGGACGGGGGUUCAAUUCCCCCCGGCUCCACUU
rnacentral:tmRNA from 1 species